rnacentral:rRNA from 1 species
CUGAUCAGCCAUGCCGCGUGUGUGAAGAAGGCCUUCGGGUUGUAAAGCWCUUUCAGCGAGGAAGAACGCCUAGUGGUUAAUACCCGUUAGGAAAGACAUCACUCGCAGAAGAAGCACCGGCUAACUCCAUGCCAGCAGCCCGCGGUAAU